GUUCGUAAUAGUACCUAGCGGCAUUCCUCGCGGUGAGCAGCAGCCCCUGCGACAGAAUAGUUUUCAGUUCCCUACGUGCCUCAACAAGUCUGAGGCAAGUGCCCUCAUCCAAGGACUGCUUAUGAGUCCCCUCUAGUUCUGCGAUGUGUGUUGUCAAGCUUGUAAUGCGGGCUAGUCUAUCCUUUUUGCGCCUGGUGCUCUCCGCAAUGAAGAAGCCCCGAAUGACGCAUUUGUGCG